GUCAGCACCCCGCUCUAAAGAGACGGGGCUUCGUGCCUCCUUCUCUAGAUAGCUGACCCGCUUAAGUACCCUGUGUACUACGUUAUCGGCAAGUGUUUAAGUUCCUACCUACGGAUACGCAGCCAGUCUGUAGCUCUAGAACCAAAUGGUUAACCAGUUUUACGAGGGGUAAGACAGUGCUGUUUGGAUAGUACCGACCGAUAACUUUGGCGCUUGCUAACAUCAC
rfam:Scytonema millei VB511283 scaffold_96, whole genome shotgun sequence.